GUGAGUAACACGUGGGUGAUCUGCCCUGUACUUCGGGAUAAGCCUGGGAAACUGGGUCUAAUACCGGAUAUGACCCGAGGUUGCAUGACCUCGGGUGGAAAGAUUUAUCGGUACAGGAUGGGCCCGCGGCCUAUCAGCUUGUUGGUGGGGUAAUGGCCUACCAAGGCGACGACGGGUAGCCGGCCUGAGAGGGCGACCGGCCACACUGGGACUGAGACACGGCCCAGACUCCUACGGGAGGCAGCAGUGGGGAAUAUUGCACAAUGGGCGAAAGCCUGAUGCAGCGACGCCGCGUGAGGGAUGACGGCCUUCGGGUUGUAAACCUCUUUCGACAGGGACGAAGCGCAAGUGACGGUACCUGUAGAAGAAGCACCGGCCAACUACGUGCCAGCAGCCGCGGUAAUACGUAGGGUGCGAGCGUUGUCCGGAAUUACUGGGCGUAAAGAGCUUGUAGGCGGUUCGUCGCGUCGUUCGUGAAAACUUGGGGCUCAACCCCAAGCUUGCGGGCGAUACGGGCGGACUAGAGUACUUCAGGGGAGACUGGAAUUCCUGGUGUAGCGGUGAAAUGCGCAGAUAUCAGGAGGAACACCGGUGGCGAAGGCGGGUCUCUGGGAAGUAACUGACGCUGAGAAGCGAAAGCGUGGGUAGCGAACAGGAUUAGAUAC
rnacentral:rRNA from 1 species